AUUAUACUCUCUCCGUCCGGAAUUACUUGUCGCAAAAAUGGAUAGAAAUGGAUGUAUCUGAAACUAAAAUACAUUUAGAUACAUCCAUUUCUGGAACAAGUAUUUUCGGACGGAGGGAGUAGUUG
rfam:Hordeum vulgare subsp. vulgare, WGS project CAJW01000000 data, contig: morex_contig_46591